AGCGACAUGAACCUCCUCCAGUCGUGGAGCAUGAGUUUGAGGUCGGCGAUCUUGGGGCCGAGGCCGACGCAGCAGUUGGCGUGCAUGGUGCAGACGGCGCUGAGGUUCCGGCUGGGCUCGCAGAUUCCCCCGAAGAACUCGGUGCUGAGGAACCUGAUCCGGAUGCCGACCUCGGCGAGGUAGCGGUCGCCCUUGAUGAGGUUGAGCACGUCCUGGUCGUGCAGGCCCGGGUGGCGCUCCCUGGCCGCGUACCAGUACCUGUAGAGCUCCACCGUCUCGGUGUUGGCGCGCACGUAGGCGAAGCCGCCGUUGGGCGAGUUGCCGAGGUCGUCGGGGUCGCCGGUGAAGUGGUCGC
rnacentral:lncRNA from 1 species